rnacentral:rRNA from 1 species
UGGGGAAUUUUGGGCAAUGGGGGAAACCCUGACCCAGCAACGCCGCGUGAAGGAUGAAGUAUUUCGGUAUGUAAACUUCGAAAGAAUAGGAAGAAUAAAUGACGGUACUAUUUAUAAGGUCCGGCUAACUACGUGCCAGCAGCCGCGGUAAUACGUAGGGACCAAGCGUUGUUCGGAUUUACUGGGCGUAAAGGGCGCGUAGGCGGCAUGACAAGUCACUUGUGAAAUCUCUGGGCUUAACCCAGAACGGCCAAGUGAUACUGUCGCGCUAGAGUGCAGAAGGGGCAAUCGGAAUUCUUGGUGUAGCGGUGAAAUGCGUAGAUAUCAAGAGGAACACCUGAGGUGAAGACGGGUUGCUGGGCUGACACUGACGCUGAGGCGCGAAAGCCAGGGGAGCAAACGGGAUUAGAUACCCGAGUAGUCCCUGAGCGGGCUGGCAAGGCGCAU